GAACGAAUGAAGAAACUGUUUCUUCCUCUGUUUGCAGGAAUUGGGUAUUCAUAGUGUACCUGAUUUAAAAUAACAAAAGAACUGAAGAAUUAUAGGAAAUCACACCAACUUGUUUAUGAUUUUAAAGGGAGAAAAAGGAAGGAAAGAUUUCCUACCCUCCUGUCCAGUCCUCCCAAGCACCAUCAAGAAUGUAACAAGAAAUUCUACUCCUACACAGAGUAAGAAUGAAGAAUUCAUAGGAGAUACUUUUUCCAAGAAGAUUCCUGUCACUGUUUGGAAGUUCUAUCUGCAUCUUACAUUAUAG
rnacentral:lncRNA from 1 species